GCACGACGGAGUUUAACAAGAUUACCCGGACCUUUCGGACAAGGAAGUACUCGCUGGCUCCGUCAGUGUAGCGCGCGUGCGGCCCAGAACAUCUAAGGGCAUCACAGACCUGUUAUUGCCUCAAACUUCCAUCGGCUUGAGCCGAUAGUCCCUCUAAGAAGCCAGCGUACUGCCAAAGCAAUACGGGCUAUUUAGCAGGUUAAGGUCUCGUUCGUUAUCGCAAUUAAGCAGACAAAUCACUCCACCAACUAAGAACGGCCAUGCACCACCACCCACAAAAUCAAGAAAGAGCUCUCAAUCUGUCAAUCCUCAUUGUGUCUGGACCUGGUGAGUUUCCCCGUGUUGGGUCAAAUUAAGCCGCAGGCUCCACCCCUGGUGGUGCCCUUCCGUCUAAUUUUCUUUAAGUUUCAGCCUUGCGACCAUACCUCCCCCUGGACGCCCAAGCACUUUGAUUUCUCGUAAGGUGCCGAACGGGUCAAAAAUACACCGUCCGAUCCCUAGUCGGCAUAGUUUAUGGUUAAGACG
rnacentral:rRNA from 1 species